GACAUGGGACCGGGUCUCGGCUGUUUUGGAUACGGUACCGGAGGAACAGCGUCUUCUUGAACGGAGAGUCUGUAGGAGACCGACGAGAUGCGCUCCGACCACGGCUUCAUUCUGCUGCUCCUCAACGGGACAGUGUGCUUGCUGGCUCUAGGACAGAAAGAUACCCACUCCUCCUCCUCUUCCUUUCCCUCAUCUGCAUCAAAGUCCUCCCCCCCUUCAGACUCCUCCAAAACUCUAGGGGUUCUGGGAUCUCCAGGCUCUAUUUCCCCUUUGAGCCGCUGGGUAAUGCACAGCCGUGGCCGUGCUGCCAACACUUCAACGAUGGAGUUGCCCUACCGCUCACCCGUUCCCUUCUCCAAACAGGAAUUCUGGGAAAUGUUGGGUAGUGACCUCCUCAAAUCGGACACAGACGCCCUGGGGACUUCCCGCGUCAAGCGUCGCCCUCCCAUCGUCAAAACAGGCAAAUUUAAGAAGAUGUUCGGCUGGGGUGACUUCUACUCCAACAUCAAGACGGUGCGCCUCAAUCUGCUCAUCACGGGUAAGAUUGUGGAUCACGGAAACGGAACGUUCAGCGUCUACUUCCGUCACAACUCCACCGGCCAGGGGAACAUCUCCGUCAGCCUGGUGCCUCCGGUGAAGGCGGUGGAGUUUGACUUAGAGCGCCAGAGCGUGGUCUACCCCAAAGACUCCAAGAUCUUCAACUGCCGCGUAGACUACGAGAAGGUGGACCGCAGCAAACGCACCUCGCUCUGCAACUACGACCCCUCCAAAACCUGCUUCCAGGAGCAGACACAAAGCCACGUGUCCUGGAUCUGCUCCAAACCCUUUAAGGUCAUUUGCAUCUACAUUUCGUUCUACAGCACAGACUACCGGUUGGUGCAGAAGGUCUGUCCAGAUUAUAACUACCACAACGAAAUGCCCUACCUACCCUCUGGUUAGUGCUUAGGUGGCGUUAAACCAGAGGGGUGAUGAGGGCUGGUCAAGGGGUAUAGAAAGAGUUUAAUAAUGGACAAAGGAACAUGAAUAUAAAUGCAAAGAUCUCUUGGGGAUAUAUAUAUCGAAAAGACUCUAAAGGGACAUUGAGCUGACAUGGGAAUGCCCCAUUAUGACCCGAACCUUUUUCUGUGGCCUUCACAGGUGGUUCCACAAAGGUGAAUGUACAGUAUUUGAUGUGCUGCAGUUGUUGUCUUGAAGAACCUCUUGAACAACCUGGCAAAUGUGACCUGCAAAACAUAUAUGCAAAACCAAAUUGUCAGGCCCAGGUGAACAGUCUUUGCUGCUCAGGGUGGGAGGGGCCUGUCUGUCGGAAUGACUCCCUGAUUGGCUGCCCUCAUCAGUGCUCAGUGUCACAGUCAUCUAAUAAAUGCCUGCAAACAAUAAAACACACUGACUACUAUGCAGAGUUUUCUUAUCCUCUGAAACAUACACCGCAAGCACUCUGUUCACAAAAACGACAUGAAUACCACCCUCGCCCCUCGCCUUAUCAUCAAAACAUUAAGUGUUCCCCUGGCGCUCUACAACAGGAGUUUGCUGAUUAGUGUGCGUCUAUGAUAAACUGCUGAGCACAACAGGGUUGAACGACUUAACAGUUGUAGCAGUACCAUACCGCAAGCAACUUAACCACAGAGCUGGCUGCCAAUCUGUUUAUCCCUGUAUACAGCAGAAUCCCUACAAGAACAGACACAUUACAUUCAAAGGAAAUGCCUUCAAAACAACGCCGAAAUCUCCCUCUGACUGCAGAUAGAGGGAUAAGUAGACUACACUGUCACGCACUGCUGGGCGUUGCCAAGGCAAGGAUAAAAGUUGAAGUGGAGGAACUCUUCAGUUGUCAUAGCGACGGGCUCCUCGGAUGGCCUGUUGGGCUUGGACAGAGCAUCGGACACCUGGUCAAUAGAACCAGAAGUGAGCGAGUGGGCUCUGUAAGCAGCAAAUCCUGGUACUGGAUAGACAUAUACUGCACAUGAAUAUAUAAAUAGAUAAAUAUAUAUAAAUGAAUAUAUAUAUGUAUAUGAAUACAGAUAAAUACAAUAAUCAAUCAAACUCUUGGGAACUGUAUGAAGCUGUAUUACAUGUCUGUCAGACAUACAGUGGACUUCAUCUGAGGUUUAUCUGUUCAUUUCUCUCUUUUUAUAUUGUUUAUUUUAUGUGUGUGUGUCAUAUUGAUAUAGUGUAUGGAUGAAAAUGGUGGCAUUUAUUGUGGUUUACUGACAUCUGACAAAAAACUGAAUAAAUUAGAAGGAAGCACUGAGUUUGGCUUCCAAGCUCAGAGUUGAAGUGACUGACGUCUCGGGUCUCGUCUUGUUUUGACUGGUGAUUGACACAGCGGGUGACAUGAGCAUGACAUGAAAGUCUAUGUUAUCUAUCUAUUUGCAUACUUAUACUCUGUGCCCAUGGCAAGAAGCAGGGAAAUAGGAAACGGCAGUCCGUGGGGACACAGACACAGAUGGCAGAGUUACAGAAACAUUGCAUUACUAUACAAUAAACUGCUCUUAACAUACUGUCAAACGUGAACUCAAACUGUCUACUGCUGCAUAAUGGUUAGGAUUUAUCACACUGUUUGUUUCUUUAUUUCAUUCAUCUUUUCAUUUGUUGCUGCCUUGUUUUUCCAUUUCUUCCUUUGCAUUAAUUUCUGCUUCUUUCUUAUACAUUUUUUCCCAUUCUUUAAUCUCUUUUUACAUCCUCCCAUUUCUCCCAAAGUUUAUAGCGUUUCUCUCUAUUCCUCCUGUCGUACAUAGUCUCAUACCCAUAAUUCACAUUAAAUCUGUCCAGAUUCGUAAUUAAAUUAGACUUCCUAUAGCAUGCAGAUGAGCUUAAAUAGGCAAAGAAUGAUGUCGUCGUAAAGCAGAUCAAUUACAAUCUUGUAGCUGACAGCAACCUUAGCACCCCCCCCCAGUCUUUUUGUUUUACCGUCCCUAACCCCCCGCCCUUCCUCUUAUCUCCUCCACUACAGCCUGCCUGGGGAUAACCUUGCAGAUAGUGAUGAAGCCGCUCUAAUUUGGGCGUGCUUCCUCUCAACCCGACGGUAACGGAGUAUUCACACAGCGCACAUCACACAGCGAGAGCGAAUAUAACAGACAGAAAAGCACAUAAAAGACUCAAAGGCUGUGAAUGCUUAAUGUGAAUAAUAAGAGGUAAUGAUGGAGUUCAUUAAAAUUAUUAGACAAAAAGCAUGUUAACAGGCCACCCGAGUUAAUAAAUUGCCAUGUAUAUCAUUCACUUGUGUGUAAUAUGAUGAUCAUUCAAUGCAUGUAUGAAUAAGAUAUUUUAGAAAAUGUGCUAAACUGGAUCCAAUACAAUUCAAUCCAUUUUUCCUCUUAAUGGGGUCCAGUCACUUAAUGCAUUUUUCUGAUUGGAAAGCAAUCUGAUUGUGUAAAGAGUUAAAACAGCCCAGCAUUUUGGAUUGAAAAUUACCCAGCAUUUUUAGAGUAUGGGCUACAGCCCCCUCAGCUGAAUUCAUAGGCAUAUAUGCAUAAGAGGCAUGUGCCUACUCAUUCAUAA